UACGUAGGGGGCAAGCGUUAUCCGGAUUUACUGGGUGUAAAGGGAGCGUAGGCGGCAGUGCAAGUCAGAAGUGAAAGCCCGGGGCUCAACUCCGGGACUGCUUUUGAAACUGUACAGCUUGAUUGCAGGAGGGGCAAGUGGAAUUCCUAGUGUAGCGGUGAAAUGCGUAGAUAUUAGGAGGAACACCAGUGGCGAAGGCGGCUUGCUGGACUGUAAAUGACGCUGAGGCUCGAAAGCGUGGGGAGCAAACAGG
rnacentral:rRNA from 1 species